GCCUCCAGAGGGCAGGCCCACAGCACGCUGCCUCCUCACCACAGACAGAGGAGGUUGGGAGACAUCGGACUUUGGAUUUCAUGUUGGAAAGUGAGAUUUACCCCAUGAGAAGUAAUGCAAGAAGAAGACGGGUGUAAGUGAGGGAGCUGAGAGAAAACUUUACGUUCAGCUUUAGGAACUGGGUUGGACAUUGGAGCACGGACGGCUGACCUGCCUUCAGUUUCCAUGCUAUCCUGGCUCUCCCACGGUCUUGAGCUGUGGGAGGCAGAAUUCAAAGAUGCCCCCCAAGAUUUCCCACCUAAAACCCAAGGCCUUGAGUAGCCCUGCGAUUGAUGGCACAGUGGAUGGCAGGAGGGUUCACACACGCGGAUGGGACCAGGUCACCAGCGCUGGAUUGUAAUCUGGAGGCCUUCCAGGGCCUCAAGAACAAAGGCCAUGGGGAAGGCCCUGCACUGUGUUAGGUCCCUCUACUCAGAACUCUGCAACCGUGAUCAAGGGGUUAAAAACGAAGAGCAAGCAAGGCAUCAGCCCAUCAGGUUCCUCCCCACUCCUCUGCUUCCUGUCCUUGGAAGGGUUUCUGAUGGAACUGGCAACACUUUCCUACAGCCUUUGAUUUAAGAUCCUCUCUGUGACAUAUUUAAAAACAGAUUAAAGACGUACUUGAACUCC
rnacentral:lncRNA from 1 species